rnacentral:rRNA from 1 species
AGCGAACGUUAGCGGGAGGCUUAACACAUGCAAGUCGAGCGAGAACGGAGACUUCGGUCUCUUAGUAAAGCGGCGGACGGGUGAGUAACACGUGGAUAAUCUGCCCUUUGGCGGGGGACAACAGCUCGAAAGGGUUGCUAAUACCGCAUAAGUCUACCGAGUCCCCGGAUUCGGUAGGGAAAGAUGGCCUCUUCUUGAAAGCUAUCACCGAAGGAUGAGUCCGCGUUGCAUCAGCUUGUUGGUGGGGUAAUGGCCUACCAAGGCAGAGACGCAUAGCUGGUCUGAGAGGAUGAUCAGCCACACUGGGACUGCGAUACGGCCCAG